UCCGCGAUAAGGACGUACCGCCGCUGAUAAGAUACCUGAUCAGUGCCAGUUGAGCGGUGGCCUAGAGUGAGGACGAGUGCCCGUACAGGAGCCUUACAUAGUUUGUCCUGUUGAAGUGUAUAUCGAAAGACCGCCACCAUGGGUUACGACAUGGACGACAAGCCGCGAGUGGGCCAAGUGCCGCUGCUCAUCUUCGCCUACCUGGGCUUUUCACUGUUCGUGUCAGGCUUCAUCAUGACAGUGUUGGCCUACGCCCCGACCGACUCUUACCUUAUGGUCAUGAUUCAGAGCAUGGGCGUCAUGGGCUUCCUCGGACCCAUCGUCCUUGUUAUCGGCAGCAUCUUGCUGCUCGUGUCAAUAUUCUACUGCCUUUGCACUUCCAACGCUGACGACUAUGACGACUAUGGCCAGUGAUGGACAACCUUGCCGAAGCUACUUUGAUUUUGGAGCUAAAUAAGGGUGAAACUAUGUGCACAUACCAUAAAUAAGUAAGCAAUACAUGAAGUUAUGUUCAGAAAACUCAAGCUACUCUUGAGAACAUCAUCAUGCUUACUCAUAGCAAACCAAACGUCUUGUUCCAGUAGAUUCAUGGGCCCUCAAAAAUGACUCUUUGUAUCCCAGCAUUUUCCACAUUAAAAACUGCUACACUUUGAAAGUAUAGUUUGUGGCAGAUGGAUUAGUAAUUUCCAAGACAAAAUAACAAUAAUAAUAAUUAAUAAUAAUAAAUCAAAAUAAAAUUGACAGCUUAGUUAAUUCUUGAUAACUACUCUAUGGAAAGUUUUGUCUGUUCACAUGAAACUUAAAUUAGCUUUAUAGUCAUCUGAUACUUAUUUUUAGUGACAAAUGUUAUGUAGUAUUGUAAUAGUAUAUAUGUUCAGUGAUGUUCAUGUGCUGGUCCAUUCUAAACUUUAGAUUAAAGGAAAUGUAUAGUUGAUUAUGGCGAAUGUUAUUUUUACAAUAUUUUUUUAUAAGCUAUGUUACAGUACACUAUUAGGUAAUAGCUUUAAGUACAAGAGACAUAUCCCUAAAGGUGGGCUUUGUUCAGGAAGAAUAUUAAACAAACUUGGGGAGUCUUUUCUAAUAUAACUCAGAUUUUUUUUAAUGAAAUUAUUCUUUAAAAUCAACACAAAAUGGUUUCAAGCUGAUAAGUUUCUUCUUCACAGAGAUAAUAUGGGAUCCUUAUUGUGGGCAAAUUGUUAAACAUUGUACUGUUACGCUCAUACGUAGCCUAUACCACAAGUAUAAAAGUAUGGUAAUCUGAAAGCAGAGUUAUAAUCCAAUAAUAUAUACCAAUGCUGGAGUGAAAUUUUACAUUCUGGAGAGUUCACCACUGGGGUGGACUGUAAAAUGUCUUCAUGCUGUUAUAAAGUAGUACCUAUACGAACAUCCAGGGAAGAAAAUCUUAACCCACACCAAAGUAGAGACACUGAGUCUUUUAGCCAUAACACAGGGAAAUAUCAAUAUUAAUCAUUUGUACUAUUAAUUAAUAAAAUGAAAAUAAGAAUAAAA